rnacentral:rRNA from 1 species
GCGGAGGCUACACAUGCAGUCGAGCGCGCUUCGGGUGAGCGGCGGACGGGUUAGUACGCUGGAACGUGCCCUUCUCUACGGAAUAGCCUCUGGAAACGGAGAGUAAUACCGUAUACGCCCUUUGGGGGAAAGAUUUAUCGGAGAAGAUCGGCCCGCGUUAGAUUAGGUAGUUGGUGGGGUAACGGCCUACCAAGCCUACGAUCUAUAGCUGGUUUUAGAGGAUGAUCAGCAACACUGGGACUGAGACACGGCCCAGACUCCUACGGGAGUGCAGCAGUGGGGAAUCUUAGACAAUGGGGGCAACCCUGAUCUAGCCAUGCCGCGUGAGUGAUGAAGGCCUUAGGGUCGUAAAGCUCUUUCGCCUGUGAUGAUAAUGACAGUAGCAGGUAAAGAAACCCCGGCUAACUCCGUGCCAGCAGCCGCGGUAAUACGGAGUGGGGUUAGCGUUGUUCGGAAUUACUGGGCGUAAAGCGCGCGUAGGCGGAUUAGGAAAGUUUGGGGGUGAAAUCCCG